GUCAGUGUGGUGUAGUGGUUUGAGUGUUGGACUAAGACUUUGGAGACCAGGGUUCGAUUCCCAGUUUGGCCA
rnacentral:tRNA from 1 species